rnacentral:snRNA from 1 species
GGGUUCGCUUCAGCAGCACAUAUACUAAAAUUGGAACGAUACAGAGAAGAUCAGCCUGGCCCCUGCUCAAGGAUGACACGCAAAUUCAUGAAGCAUUCCAUAUUUUU